rnacentral:lncRNA from 1 species
CAGUUAAAAGAAUAUUGGCAGAGGAAGAGCCCUGGCAUUCCAGAAGGAGCUAACAGGAAAAAGAAAAUCAAUGGCAGUAGCCCUGACACAGCCACUUCUGGUGGUUACCACUCACCUGGGGAUCAACAGGUAUCUACGGGGAGGGCCGUGCAUCAUCUGCUACCCUGGAGGAUCUGGAGAGCCAGUACCAAGAACUAGCAGUGGCCCUGGAUUCAAGCUCCACAAUAAUCAGUCAACUCACUGAAAACAUCAAUUCACUGGUUCACACAUUGAAAGAGGAGAAGCAUGAGAUACAUCAGGUACAGAAGCUUGGGAGGAACUUGUUCAAACUCAAAAACCAGACGGCUGAACCCCUGGCCCCAGAGCCCCCAGCACGGCCCUCUAAGGUGGAGCAGCUCCAAGAUGAGACCAACCACCUAAGGAAGGAGCUGGAGAGUGUGGGAAGACAGCUCCAGGCUGAGGUGGAAAACAAUCAGAUGUUGAGUCUCCUGAACAGGAGACAGGAGGAGAGGCUGCAGGAACAGGAGGGGUGGCAGGAGGAACAGGAGAGGCUGCUGGACAAGGUGGAGGAGCUGCUGGAACAGGAGAGGUUUUCGGGAGCAGGAUGAGAGGCUGUGGCAGCAGGAGACUCUACGGGAGCUGGAGAGGAUGCUGGAGUUGGGGUGGGAAGCCCUCUACAAGCAGCGGGCCGAGCCCCACAGCGGCUUCGAGGAGCUGGUGCAAUAAUGAGAACAAGAGUGCACUGCAGUUGGAGCAGCAAGUAAAGGAGCUGAAGCUUGCUGAAGAGCCAAGAGGCUCAGAGUCAGCAGCAGCAGCAAGACCAGUACCUGUCCCCAAUCGCCCGGGAGCUUGGGUGUGCGGACAAGCAGGGUGGGGAGACUCCCCAGGAGCACCCAGGCAUGGGCAGCAACCCCUGCAUGCCAUUCUUUUUGGGCUGCCGAGAACAGGGAGAUAAACACCACCAUCAUCU